rnacentral:sRNA from 1 species
GUCAGGUGUGGUGGCUCACACAUGUAGUCCCAGCCACUUUGGAGGCUGAAGCAGGAGGAUCACUGAGGCAGGAAAAAGGCUGAGACCAGUCUGGGCAACAUAGUGAGACCCCUGUCUCUU